UGCAUUAGGCUGUAACCCCCCUGAAAACAUUCAAAAUAGCCAGCUUGGUUGAGGCUUAAUUUCAAGGGGUGAGUGCCUCACAAGCAUACUGACUAGGAAUAUGGUGAGUGAGCGCUUUGCAUACGAAUACAUGACGUGGUGGAUCUAAUGGGUCGUUCCAGAAAAGAUCCAUACUCCCCCCACAGAGGAAGUUUCUGCCGUCCGGAGGGGGAGGGGAGAAAAAAUUGUUUCUGAUAAUUAUAGUAAAUGUAUUAGGACAUCCGAAGGGGGUAGGGGGGUUAGCUUCCUAUUUCCUCUGUGGGGGUGGUAUGGAUGUUUUGUGGAAUGACCCAAUAAAGGUUUUGGC